rnacentral:rRNA from 1 species
UACGUAGGGGGCAAGCGUUGUCCGGAUUUAUUGGGCGUAAAGCGCGUGUAGGCGGCCAGGUAGGUCCGCUGUGAAAACCCGAGGCUCAACCUCGGGACGUCGGCGGAAACCAUCUGGCUAGAGUCCGGAAGAGGAGAGUGGAAUUCCCGGUGUAGCGGUGAAAUGCGCAGAUAUCGGGAAGAACACCCGUGGCGAAGGCGGCUCUCUGGGACGGUACUGACGCUGAGACGCGAAAGCGUGGGGA